GAGAUAUUUGAUAUGUAUCAGCAGUAUGCUGCAUUUAAAAGAUGGCAUUUUGAAACCAUGGAAUAUUUUCCAAGUGAAAUAGGUGGCCUUAGACAUGGAACCGCCAGCAUUGAGGGUUCAGAAGCCUAUAAGCACGUGAAGUUUGAAGGAGGUGUGCACGGAGUCCAGAGAGUGCCCAGGACAGAGAAGCAAGGCUGCAUCCACGCCAGCACCAUGACUGUAGCCAUCUUACCCCAGCCCACCGAGAUUAACCUGGUGAUUAAUCCUAAGGAUUUGAGGAUUGAUACUAAGCGAGCCAGUGGAGCCGGGGGCGGGGGGCAGCAUGUGAACACCAUGGACAGUGCUGUCCAGAUCGUUCAUCUCCCAACGGGUAUUGUUUCCGAAUGCCAACAAGAAAGAUCUCAACUGAAAAAUAAAGAGAUCGCUAUGAGAAAGUUACGUGCAAAACUGUACAGCCUGCAGCUAGAAGAAGAAACAAGUAAACAAUACAAUGCUAGGAAGAUUCAGAUUGGCACAAAAGGAAGGUCAGAGAAAAUAAGAACAUAUAAUUUUCCACAGAACCGGGUCACAUAUCACAGAAUAAACAAGUCACUUCAUGAUCUUGACACUUUUAUGCAAGGAGAGUACCUACUGGAUGAACUUGUACAGUCAUUGAAGGAUUAUGCUAAUUAUGAAUCUUUAGUAGAAAUUAUUUCCGAAAAAGGUUAAGUUGAUUUGUUACUAAAGCUUUGGAUAGCUUCUGAAUAUAUAU